GAGAGUAACACUCAACAAUCACAGGACUUACACAAUAUGAAACAAUUCCAGCUCAUGAACCAUCAGACAGUGAUGGACUCCCCUGCUCUGCCAGCCAUGGCUAUAGCUUUGACUGGUCAAGAGGCUGAUUGCAGUAACUUUCUUCUGGUAGGAGAUGCAGACAUGACUGGAUCUGGCCAGUUUACAGAGGCUGCACCCUGAGGGCCGUCGUGUCCCCCUUGCCUUUUGACCUACAGGGCCUAAUAUAAUGCAUUUAAAUGUUAUGUCUC
rnacentral:lncRNA from 1 species